UACGUAGGGACCAAGCGUUGUUCGGAUUUACUGGGCGUAAAGGGCGCGUAGGCGGCAAUUCAAGUCAUCUGUGAAAUCUCCGGGCUUAACCCGGAACGGUCAGAUGAUACUGCUUUGCUAGAGUGCGGAAGGGGCAAUCGGAAUUCUCGGUGUAGCGGUGAAAUGCGUAGAUAUCGAGAGGAACACCUGAGGUGAAGACGGGUUGCUGGGCCGACACUGACGCUGACAGCGCGAAAGCCAGGGGAGCAAACGGG
rnacentral:rRNA from 1 species